UGAGAUAAAAAGACCCUCUAGGACGCCGCUGCUUGCUUUCUUCGCUGAGGUCGGCUUCCGAUACCCUAACAGUACAAGCCCAACAUCCCCUACGAAAUGGUAAUAAAAUCUUCCUCUUCUCCCUCCGAUUCGAUUGUACUCGAGGUUUUGAUAUCUGAUCUCUCCUUUUAUUCUCAGGACUGGUGCCGAAGAAGGAGAAGGCUCCUCCCCCGUCUUCCAGGCCGGCCAAAUCCGGUGGAGGGAAGCAAAAGAAGAAGAAGUGGAGCAAGGGAAAGCAAAAGGAGAAGGUGAACAAUGCUGUGCUCUUCGAUCAGGCGAGCUAUGAUAAGAUGCUCUCCAAAGUUCCAAAGUACAAGCAGAUCACUCCCUCCGUGCUGUCUGAAAGAUCAAGGGUAAAAGAUCUCAUCUUUAUUAUCGACCUGUUCUUUAUUUCUGGAUUUAGUCAUGAUAUAUGAGUAUCUUUGGGCCGCAGGAGCUCUUCAAAUCCCUAAGGGUUCGCGAGGAUUCACCAUUAGCUCUUCACCAUUAGACACUCCAGCUCUGGGAUUCGAGGCCAAGGGUUGCGUUGGUUCGAUCUCGGCAUCUUGAGUCAAAGGUUUCUUGCUGUUAUAAAAAAUCCGAAGGUAGAUUUAUUUAAUGAUCGCCCUUAUGCUUUUUUUUUUUGGUAUUUUGUUUCUCAGCAUCAGCAUUGCAUUCCCCUGUUGCUGGUGCAUAUAUUUUUUCUUGUGCAUCAUGAGAUGAAGAUAGAAAAUUGUUUUCUCUAUGAGAAGAAGUGCAUUAUAGAUAUUGCUUCCUGCUAAUUUCUAGAAGAGUCAUGUA